rnacentral:miRNA from 1 species
AUCCUCCUGGUCGACGGGGAGGACUCCCUCCUGGUCGACGAGGCUGUACAACCUUUCUGGCCCAGGAGGGAAUCCUCCUGGUCGACGGGGAGGAC